CGUACCCUCCCGCGCUGGAUCCCUGGGCUCGGGGUGACUUGCAGGUCCACCGUACGCGAAGUUUCGGGGAGAUUUUAUUUAUCCAUUUGUUAGGAGAGAGAGAGUGAGCGCACACAAGCAGGGGGAGCAGCAGGCAGAGGGAGAAGCAGACUCCCCGCUGAGCAAGGAGCCUGAGGGACUCAAUCCCAGGACCCUGGGAUUGCGACCUGAGCCGAAGGCAGACACUUAACGGACUGAGCCACUCACUUCUGCAGAGUCCCUUUUGCCGGGGAAUCAAACCAGGUUAUUUUUGUUCAUGAGAUGGUGAAAUACACUGAAUGUAGCGAAGGGAAAAAAGCGUGAAAGAGAGAGAAUGCCUGCUGCUUCUGCUGGGAUCCUCGCUGGCUGUUCCGGAGUGUUCCGUGGAAAGCACUUAGAUAUUCAGAACAAAGGGUAAGAAAACUGAGCCUCAGAGAGGGGAGGUGACAUGCUCAAAGUCACUGGAGCUAUGGGCAGAGCUGCGAUUCUGCCCCUGGUGGUCUCAUGGGGUCAUGUGGACAAAGACUCACAUUAUGAAUUGCCUCCCUGGAGAAACCAACCCCUCCUCCCCCAAAAAAGGCCUUGAUCCAAUAAACCAACUUUUAACGGAGCAGCAUCUUUCAAUCGAAGGACGAUGGCAACUUAUCUCUGGGUCCCAGCUCUGUAGUGACACGAAUUCUCUGAGCUGCCCAAUCUCACUCAAGGUUAGUAAUUAAGGCAUAAUUGAAAUGAAAUUAAUUGCAAUAAAUGUGUAAUUAGC